rnacentral:rRNA from 2 species
AGCAGCCGCGGUAAUUCCAGCUCCAAUAGCGUAUAUUAAAGUUGUUGCAGUUAAAAAGCUCGUAGUUGAAUUUCGGGGUCAGCAAGUUGGUCGUGCCACCGGUAUGCACUGGCUUUGCUGAUUCCUCCUUCUUGUAGAACCGUAAUGCCAUUAAGUUGGUGUUGCGGGGAAACAGGACUGUUACUUUGAAAAAAUUAGAGUGUUUAAAGCAGGCUAAGGCUUGAAUACAUUAGCAUGGAAUAAUGAAAUAGGACGACGAUCCUAUUUUGUUGGUUUCUAGGAUUGACGUAAUGAUUAAUAGGGAUAGUUGGGGGCAUUAGUAUUCAAUUGUCAGAGGUGAAAUUCUUGGAUUUAUUGAAGACUGACUACUGCGAAAGCAUUUGCCAAGGAUGUUUUCAUUAAUCAGGAACGAAAGUUAGGGGAUCGAAGACGAUCAGAUACCGUCGUAGUCUUAACCAUAAACUAUGCCGACUAGGGAUCGGAUGAUGUUAAUUUUAUAAUGACUCA